GAUAAGCCAUAGACGCUGGAAUGCCCUAUGGUUCAAAGCUCCGGCGCCUAAGGAUGGAUCUGCGGUCUAUCAGGUUGUAGUGGGUGUAACGUACCUACUAGCCGACGACGGAUACGGGUUGUGAGAGCAAGAGCCCGGAGAUGGAUUCUGAGACACGAAUCCAGGCCCUACGGGGUGCAGCAGGCGCGAACACUUUACAAUGCGGGAAACCGCGAUAAGGGAACCCCGAGUGCCAGCAUCAAAUGUUGGCUGUCCAGAUGAUUAAAAAUCAUUUGUUAGCAAGGGCCGGGCAAGACCGGUGCCAGCCGCCGCGGUAACACCGGCGGCCCGAGUGGUAGCCGUUUUUAUUGGGUCUAAAGGGUCCGUAGCCGGCCUGAUAAGUCCUUUGGGAAAUCUGGCAGCUUAACUGUCAGGCUUCUAAGGGAUACUGUCAGGCUUGGGACCGGAAGAGGUAAGGGGUACUCCAGGGGUAGGAGUGAAAUCUUGUAAUCCCUGGGGGACCAUCUGUGGCGAAGGCGCCUUACCAGAACGGGUCCGACGGUGAGGGACGAAAGCUAGGGGAGCAAACCGGAUUAGAUACCCGGGUAGUCCUAGCUGUAAACGAUGCUCGCUAGGUGUCAGACACGGUGCGACCGUGUUUGGUGCCGCAGGGAAGCCGUUAAGCGAGCCACCUGGGAAGUACGGUCGCAAGGCUGAAACUUAA
rnacentral:rRNA from 1 species